rnacentral:lncRNA from 1 species
UCUUGGAUCAGCAAACGGCAUCGUGCCCUGCGGGCCAUUAAUCAUCGAGCCCAGCGCAUGCGCGAGGGAUGGCCUCGAGCAAGCGCUCUCGCUACUCAACACCACACCAGGAGGGGAUAGGAGGUGCUUCAAAUGAGAUCAGAUGUUUAGAUUCAGAUGCAUGGACGUGAGAGUUACAUACACAUCAUGGUAUAUAGACGGCCGUGGCUCUGCGGCUUGUGCGUAACCGACUCGGUGUUGGAGUCGUGGUCCGUCCCUCGCAAAAGAAAAAUCGAUGUCCUUAUUUAGGCCAUCCUCGUGUUAGAGAGAUGCUCCGUCGCUACCGUUCUAUCAACCAUGGUACUGUAAUUAGUAGACAAGAACACGGUUGCACAACUGAGUUCACAUCAGUUUUGAAGGGGCAAGCUAUUGUAGCAUUCAUUAAAUCGAUGCCCAAAGCAUUUGCAACCAGCAAUGUUUAUGGAAAAUACUCCUAGAUCCGAGUGUUCGAUGGUAUGGAAAUAACACUGACGCGUGUAUAAAUUAAGGCCCAACUUGUGUUUGCUGAAUUGUUGUGUUAAACUUACUUAUAGUUUG